CACAUAGAUACAGAUGACAGAAUGGUGAUAGCCAGAGAGAAAGGCAGUGGAGGAGGUGGAAGAGGUCGAGGGGCAGGUAAAUGGGGACAGAAAGAGACUUUACUUGGGCGAUGGGUACACAAUACAAUGUGCAGAUGAUGAUAUGCUAACUGGUAUCUAAUGGUGCUAAAUAUCCCUGAUACGGUCAUGGUAUACAAGAGGAACCUAAUUUAGGUCUUAAUUCAGUUACCCACUGGUGACACCCAUUCUGGUCCUCUAAUCCAUGGCUGCUCACCAAGUCUCUGGCAAGCCACAGAUGUGGCAGCGCAGAACUGUCCCCACACUUGCCAGUAGGACCACGUGUGUGUCACUGGCCUGGCAUCUUCCAUCCAUGGCCCCACUGCUCGUACUUUAACUCUGGUCCCUGUGAUCACAUAUUUGUGGGAAAAACUGAAGCUGCAGAGCAAGAUGGAACACAUGAACACUGUGGACCCUGGGCUUAGGGGAUGAAGGUCUUCCACCAAUUUGCACCCUCUCCUGCAUCUGUUACCUUCCUCAUUUCCUUUCCCUUUCUGUUCAGUGUGUGUUUUAAAUUGCACCAAAUCAUCAUCACUCACUUGACAUCUCCCAGUAGCUCUUGUUGGGAGCACCCUGUACAGCAG